AGUGAACGCUGGCGGUAGGCCUAACACAUGCAAGUCGAACGGCAGCACAGUAAGAGCUUGCUCUUACGGUUGGCGAGUGGCGGACGGGUGAGGAAUACAUCGGAAUCUACUUUUUCGUGGGGGAUAACGUAGGGAAACUUACGCUAAUACCGCAUACGACCUACGGGUGAAAGCAGGGGAUCUUCGGACCUUUCGCGGUUGAAUGAGCCGAUGUCGGAUUAGCUAGUUGGCGGGGUAAAGGCCCACCAAGGCGACGAUCCGUAGCUGGUCUGAGAGGAUGAUCAGCCACACUGGAACUGAGACACGGUCCAGACUCCUACGGGAGGCAGCAGUGGGGAAUAUUGGACAAAGGGCGCAAGCCUGAUCCAGCCAUACCGCGUGAGUGAAGAAGGCCUUCGGGUUGUAAAGCCCUUUUGUUGGGAAAGAAAAGCAGCAGGUUAAUACCCCGCUGUUCUGACGGUACCCAAAGAAUAAGCACCGGCUAACUUCGUG
rnacentral:rRNA from 1 species